GGGAUCUUAGCUCAGCUGGGAGAGCAUCUGCCUUACAAGCAGAGGGUCAUAGGUUCGAGCCCUAUAGGUCCCU
rnacentral:tRNA from 1 species